rnacentral:rRNA from 1 species
UACGUAGGUCACGAGCGUUGUCCGGAUUUAUUGGGCGUAAAGCGAGCGCAGGUGGUUUAUUAAGUCUGGUGUAAAAGGCAGUGGCUCAACCAUUGUAUGCAUUGGAAACUGGUAGACUUGAGUGCAGGAGAGGAGAGUGGAAUUCCAUGUGUAGCGGUGAAAUGCGUAGAUAUAUGGAGGAACACCGGUGGCGAAAGCGGCUCUCUGGCCUGUAACUGACACUGAGGCUCGAAAGCGUGGGGAGCAAACAGG